GGGGAUUUAGCUCAGUGGUAGAGCGCUUGCCUAGCAAGCACCAGGCCCUGGGUUCAGUCCUCA
rnacentral:tRNA from 1 species